AACGAACGCUGGCGGCAGGCCUAACACAUGCAAGUCGAGCGAAGCCUUCGGGCUUAGCGGCGGACGGGUGAGUAACGCGUGGGAACGUGCCCUUUGGUACGGAAUAGCCCCGGGAAACUGGGAGUAAUACCGUAUGUGGUCGAGAGACGAAAGAUUUAUCGCCAAAGGAUCGGCCCGCGUUGGAUUAGGUAGUUGGUGGGGUAAUGGCCUACCAAGCCGACGAUCCAUAGCUGGUUUGAGAGGAUGAUCAGCCACACUGGGACUGAGACACGGCCCAGACUCCUAGGGGAGGCAGCAGUGGGGAAUCUUAGACAAUGGGGGAAACCCUGAUCUAGCCAUGCCGCGUGAUCGAGGAAGGCCUUAGGGUUGUAAAGCUCUGUCUUCAGGGACGAUAAUGACGGUACCUGAGGAGGAAGCCACGGCUAACUACGUGCCAGCAGCCGCCGUAACAC
rnacentral:rRNA from 1 species